GACGAACGCUGGCGGCGUGCUUAACACAUGCAAGUCGAACGGAAAGGCCCUGCUUUUGUGGGGUGCUCGAGUGGCGAACGGGUGAGUAACACGUGAGUAACCUGCCCUUGACUUUGGGAUAACUUCAGGAAACUGGGGCUAAUACCGGAUAGGAGCUCCUGCUGCAUGGUGAGGGUUGGAAAGUUUCGGCGGUUGGGGAUGGACUCGCGGCUUAUCAGCUUGUUGGUGGGGUAGUGGCUUACCAAGGCUUUGACGGGUAGCCGGCCUGAGAGGGUGACCGGCCACAUUGGGACUGAGAUACGGCCCAGACUCGUACGGGAGGCAGCAGUGGGGAGUAUUGCACAAUGGGCGGAAGCCUGAUGCAGCAACGCCGCGUGCGGGAUGACGGCCUUCGGGUUGUGAACCGCUUUCGCCUGUGACGAAGCGUGAGUGACGGUAAUGGGUAAAGAAGCACCGGCUAACUACGUG
rnacentral:rRNA from 1 species